rnacentral:rRNA from 1 species
UGCAGUCGAACGAUGAUGGGAGCUUGCUCCUGGAUUAGUGGCGAACGGGUGAGUAACACGUGAGUAACCUGCCCUUAACUCUGGGAUAAGCCUGGGAAACUGGGUCUAAUACCGGAUAUGACUCCUCAUCGCAUGGUGGGGGGUGGAAAGCUUUUUGUGGUUUUGGAUGGACUCGCGGCCUAUCAGCUUGUUGGUGAGGUAAUGGCUUACCAAGGCGACGACGGGUAGCCGGCCUGAGAGGGUGACCGGCCACACUGGGACUGAGACACGGCCCAGACUCCUACGGGAGGCAGCAGUGGGGAAUAUUGCACAAUGGGCGAAAGCCUGAUGCAGCGACGCCGCGUGAGGGAUGACGGCCUUCGGGUUGUAAACCUCUUUCAGUAGGGAAGAAGCGAAAGUGACGGUACCUGCAGAAGAAGCGCCGGCUAACUACGUGCCAGCAGCCGCGGUAAUACGUAGGGCGCAAGCGUUAUCCGGAAUUAUUGGGCGUAAAGAGCUCGUAGGCGGUUUGUCGCGUCUGCCGUGAAAGUCCGGGGCUCAACUCCGGAUCUGCGGUGGGUACGGGCAGACUAGAGUGAUGUAGGGGAGACUGGAAUUCCUGGUGUAGCGGUGAAAUGCGCAGAUAUCAGGAGGAACACCGAUGGCGAAGGCAGGUCUCUGGGCAUUAACUGACGCUGAGGAGCGAAAGCAUGGGGAGCGAACAGGAUUAGAUACCCUGGUAGUCCAUGCCGU